rnacentral:rRNA from 1 species
CGCCUAAUGCGUCAAAUAGGAAAAUGCCGUCCGUGACCGCGCACGCCGGUCGCGUCGUCCACCGCCGCCUGCGCAACGGCGGCCGCCAUCUCCUCCCCUCUCCUUCUCCUCAACCCCCCGCACCGCUCUCACCAUGAACACCUCCUCUAGCUCCGGCCAGGGCUCCAACGCAGCCGCCCUCGCCUCCCCACACCAGCCGCGAGGUGGCCGUGGCGCCGCCGGGCGAGCCGGCGGCCGUGGCGAUGGGAGCAACCGCGUCGAUGCCCUCGGCCGCCUCCUGACGACGGUCUUGCGGCACAUGGCGCCGGAGCUGGGGCUGGGCAUGAGGAGCGACGGCUACGUGCGUGCCCGCGACCUGCUCGGCCUCAACCUGCAGACCUUCGCCAAGGCUCCCCUCAAGUCCCACUCGGUGGAUGAAAUCAGGGAGGCGGUCAGGCGAGACAACAAGCAGAGGUUCAGUCUGUUGGAGGAGGAUGGCGAGCUCCUGAUUCGGGCUAACCAGGGGCACACUGUGACAACUGUUGCAUCAGAGAGCUUGCUGAAACCAAUUUUAUCAGCCGACGAAGUCUCAGUUUGUGUCCAUGGGACCUACAGGAAGAAUCUUGAUUCAAUAUUGCAACAUGGACUAAAACGUAUGGAAAGGCUACAUAUACAUUUCUCAAGCGGUUUGCCAUCAGACGAAGGAGUCAUAAGCGGUAUGCGGCGUAGCGCAAACAUAUUGAUAUACCUGGACGUCCGCAAGGCGCUGCAAGAUGGGAUGAAGCUAUACAUCUCCGACAACAAGGUGGUACUGACGGAGGGUUUCGACGGCGUCGUCCCCGUCAAGUACUUGGAGAAGAUGGAGACGUGGACAGGACGCCCUCUGAUACCGUUCCAAAGAUAAAACCGUGGCUUUGCGUUGAUAGCUUGAGAUGCACUCACUCCCUUGAUUAAACCGUGCUGUAAUAUCUCUCUGAACUCUGAAGGCAUCAUUUGACAAACAGACUCUGAUGCAUGAGAGGGAGCAUCGUUCUGGACCUUGUACAAGUGGUUGUGCAAAACAUGCGUGUGGUGAUGAUGAUAACCUGCACCUGGUGGUGGUGCUUAUAUGUUUGCUGAAUCCAUGGACAAUUUUCUCCCUGAAUCAGGUUUGUCGUCUCGUUUCUUCUGAAGGACAUUUUGGCUAGCUACCCUCCCAUGUUCUGCAUGUGCACUUUGUUUUUCCAAAGUUGUGAAGUAAAGCUGAGGGAAUCUUUUCUGGAGUAGCAAAUUUGGUUUAUGAUGUGAGUCUGCAAAUCUGGGGUUUUCAGCUUAUGGUUAUCUCUACUUUCUUGCUAGAUUUGACUACGUAAUUGGGAGUUAUAGAUACAGAAUCCCCAGCUAAAAUAUCCUUUCCUUGAUUAGUUAUGUUGUUAAAGAAAAGGGAACAUGGGGCCAUGCAUUUAUGCAAGAACAUCGGCUACUAUUAAUGUUCAGAUUUAGAGUAACAGAUUCCUCUGACAAAGCUUCUGCUUUUUCACAAGCUGCAAUUUUUGGGCGCUAGACAACUCAUUUACCAGAGGACAAGGGUCAUUGGGCUAUAUAAGAACUGGUAGGACUUUUUUUUGCGGGGGGAAUUCGUUUGUUGUUUUGACUGUGCAGAACCUUUUAAUUGCAAAUCUCCUGUAAGAGUUUAUUGUUGUUUUUUCCUACAAGAAAGGAAGAUUUUUGUUGUUUAAAGCCUCGCUUCAAGAACUUGAGUUCGUGCCACAGCUGCAGCAUUUCUCAAAAGAGUUCAAUGUUUUUGCAAGAUUGGGUGCUAAUCUUUUUGUUGUGAAUCCUACCCCAAAAUGAGCAGAGGAAGCUGUGGACUGGCAUGAGCUAGGGAGCCAUGGGCUCCCUUUGCUGGACUGCUCCUUCGCCCUUCCUGCCGCCCCGCCUGCCUGCCAGCAGAUGACGCCACGGAGGUCAGCACCUCGGAGACCAGCAAGGGCUCUGUGCUCUCGCUCGCCAACGGCCCUGCCGACAAUGGCAAUGCCGCUCACUGAGCCAAUGGCACGUUCGCCGAGCUCCUGCACUGCUCCAACGCCGCUGACAAGCGAAUGCAGCAUCAGCAUCAGCAGCUGCAGCCCACGCUUGCCUACUACACCACCCAGGGCUCGCACGUCUCACCCAUGUUCUUUCAGAUGAUUUCCCAGCUCACCUUCUCCCAGGAGCAGCAGCACCGCCACCGCCUCCGCCGCCACCACCACGCCUCUGUUGCCUUCGACAGGAGCACACUUCAGUCCAACACCGUGUCCACCCUGCAGUGGCCGCCGUCCCAGCACCAGUUCCUGAUGCAGAGGUUCUCUGCUGCUCCAGGUGAACCUUCGUCCAUCUUUCCCUUCUUUCUUGGAGGCGGCGGUGCUGCUGCUGCUGCUGCUCCUGCAGCAGUCAAUGCGCUUGAGUGGGGGCUGCAGCUCAAUGCGCUUGAGUAGUUACAUGAGGAGUACAUCAAUCAUGGUGCAGCCCCAUUAACUGCAAAAAAUUCAGCGUUGUACCAACUACCAGGUCAUGAUCCAUUCAGCACAAGCAAAACCCAGAACGAGAGAAGGUCCACGGUGUCGAAGGUGUCGGCACCAUGAAGGCGCGUGGACAACAAAUGCUUAUUAGCUGGACCUUUGAGUCUUCUCAACAAAAACAUGUUGGCAUGGUCUGGAUACUGGUGGCAUAAGAAUUUCUCAUGUACCUGGGCAUUUGCAGAUGGUAAUUCAAACAUGAGUGAUUUGAUUUCUUUCACCUGAUAUCAGUACUAUGAUUGUCAGUCUUAUCGCAACGAGCCUUGUAUUGCCUUCAUUGGCUGGGCUCUCGCAAAAAGUUCUUGGUGCAG